CCUACGGGAGGCUGCAGUGGGGAAUAUCGCACAAUGGGGGAAACCCUGAUGCAGCGAAGCCGCGUGAGCGAUGAAGUAUUUCGGUAUGUAAAGCUCUAUCAGCAGGGAAGAAGAUGACGGUACCUGACUAAGAAGCCCCGGCUAACUACGUGCCAGCAGCCGCGGUAAUACGUAGGGGGCAAGCGUUAUCCGGAUUUACUGGGUGUAAGGGGAGCGUAGACGGCGGUGCAAGCCAGAUGUGAAAGCACGGGGCUCAACCCCGGGACUGCAUUUGGAACUGUGUGGCUGGAGUGUCGGAGAGGCAGGCGGAAUUCCUAGUGUAGCGGUGAAAUGCGUAGAUAUUAGGAGGAACACCAGUGGCGAAGGCGGCCUGCUGGACGAUGACUGACGUUGAUGCGCGAAAGCGUGGGGAGCAAACAGGAUUAGAUACCCUGGUAGUC
rnacentral:rRNA from 1 species